rnacentral:rRNA from 1 species
GUCGGUGCAGCUGACGGAGCACGCCGCGUGAGUGAUGAAGGUCUUCGGAUCGUAAAACUCUGUUAUUAGGGAAGAACAAAUGUGUAAGUAACUAUGCACGUCUUGACGGUACCUAAUCAGAAAGCCACGGCUAACUACGU